AGAAUAUGCAGAAGUGGACCUCAGCAGCCUGGACAUCCUUCUAAGGAGACAUGAAUAUUCCUCAUCUUUCUGCCUUUUGCAUAACUGCCUUACCAAGGAAAAAGAAGUCACGGUCAGAGUCUACUGUCCUCAUGCGAUGGAAAGUGAGCGAGAGUGACGAGACCAUGAGCAUUGUCGAAAUAAAGCAUUAGGCAUGCAUCUGGGAGCGGAGCAGCUACUGCUGUCAGUGAGAUAAGUGUCUGUUCUGGUGAGAGCUCUGCUCACGGUCCAUCUGGCUCCAGGUAGGGACGUCUUGUUAGUUGGACCUGGGUUUGUAACAAAAUGUUCAUGACUAGCUGUGGUUAUGAGGGAGACUGGGUCUCCAUUUUCAGGGUCUGCUCAUUUCUCUGCUGACAAGCGAUGUGUCCUCUGCAGAAAAGGUAGGUUCCAGGUGGCGAGUUGCUUGCCUUCCUCCCGUGUUUUUCUCUCUCUCUCUCUCUCUUCUCUAGUGUUGGCCAACACACUGUGUCAGUCUGUCCUUGCCUCUUUUUCUGCUGUUUCACUUCAUUGCACACAGGCAGGUGAGUUAGCUGUGUAUCCCCAGAGGCCAGGUCUCGGGAAGCAUGGCAAAGUAGGAGAGGACGAAAAUAAUGCAGGGAAGUGGGUGUGAGAGUGGAGGCAGGUACUGGAAGGUCUUGUGCACCUGUAGUGUUUUUGGCAGUGAUGGCUCUUCCAUAGGUGGUUUGCUGUUCUUGCGGAGCAUCUGCAGGAAGCAGACCUGCACAAUCUAGCUGUUUCACUUUGCAGUGGAGCCGAGGUGCGCUCUUGUAAUGUUGGAGGAGCAGAUGCGUGUUUUUGUGAAAUGAUAUUUCUCUAUCCAGUAUCUGCAGAGUGAGGUGCCUCAUGGAGAGCAGAGAGAUGCUUCUCCUAUCCAUGGGAAGGUCCAGCUCUGCCUGUGGCUGGCAGUGGUCUGGGAUUGUCCCUUUCCUGGAGGGCUGUAGCUCCUUAGGAGUCGUGAGUAUUUUAGGCACUGGGUAAGCUGAAGAAGAAUAAAGAAGGAGGGAGCAGCAGCCAGUGACGUGUGUCCGUUGUUCUUCCAUGCACAAGUGGUGACCUAGCUUACAAGUGUUCUCUCUCUCUCUCUCUCUUUUCAGUCGUACUGAGAUUGGUCAGAUGAGAGAUCGGCCAACCUGUGGCAGAGACCAAAGAAGGAGCAGCCACCCGGAGCCCAUCUCUAGGGAUGGAAGCCGGACAAUGAUCUGCAGAUUAAGAGCAAAUGGAAACUUGCUGAAGUUCAGUAUUGAGGGAGGGCUGCAAAUACUCUUGUCAGUGGAGAGAAUUUUACCACGGAGAAAGAAGUGAAGGGUAAGAGCCCACCCCCGUUGUGAGAUGGAAAGCACCAAGAGCCGUGAGACCACAAGCGUUGUCGAUGCCAGGCUAUGGCGAUGCCGUCGAUCUGGGAGUGGAGCAGCCAUCACCAUCAGUGAGAUAAGUGUCUGGUUUGGGGAGGACUCCGGUAACGGCCCAUCUGCCUCCAGGCUGAGACUUGUCAUUAGCUGGGGCUCGGUUUGUAGGAAAAGAUUCCUGACCUGCUGUGGUUAUGAGGGAGACAAGGUCCCCAUUUUCAGAGGCUGCUCAUGUCUCUGGCCAGGACCAGUGUGUCCUCCGCAGCAUAUUAGAUCCAGGGGGAUGACUCCAGCUGGUGAGUUUCUUGACUCCCUCCCACGUUUUUCUCUCUCUCCUCUGUGUUG